CAAGAAUAUUAGUCAAUGCUCGCAAGAGUGAACUAGCUAACUGAAAUCACAGGAUCCAUUACGUGUGGUGAAUGUAAUAACGUAAGGGAAAAAAAAUGAUAUUACCUUACUAUUAGUGUUGUCCAAAACUGGUGCCAGAAGACUCGGUAAGGCCAGAGACGCAAACGUUAGUCGUCCUAAUCAGGCGUAAAGGGUAUGUAGGCUGCUUUAAAAUGAAUUAAAGCUAGAAUCAAAUUGAGGAUAAGUCAAAUAAUACUUAGUGUAGGGUUUAAAUCUGGUGAUAUUAGGUGGAGUACUAAAGGUGAAAGCUUUUUAUCUAUAAAUGAUUGACGCUGAGAAACGAAGGUGAGAAAAGAAAAUAGGAUUAGAUACCCAGAUAUCUCUCACAGUCAACGAUGAAUGGUGGUUGUUAGUUUAAUAUGACUGAUAACGAUGUUAACACGAUAACCAUUCCGCCUUGCGAGUACGGUUGCAAAACUGAAACCAAAAAAAUUAGUCGGUCUCGAAGCAAACGAAGUGAAGCAUGUUAUUUAAUUCGAUAAUCCCGCA
rnacentral:rRNA from 1 species